UCCUAUGGUCGGGCGUGCAGGAGAACCUUCGGGUUCGCCGUUUACCUUUUGGCGGUACUGUCAAUCCUGUGCGUCCGGCCACCACG
rfam:Haematospirillum jordaniae strain H5569, complete genome.